rfam:Bartonella tamiae Th239 genomic scaffold supercont1.1, whole genome shotgun sequence.
GUUUGACACGGCCCAACGGUGUCCAGUCUGGGCCCAACUUUUGGUCGUGGUGCAAUGAC